GGAAGUUGUAGCUCAGCGGUUAAAAUGUUGGACUUUUGAUCGGAAGGUUGAGAGUUCAAAUCCCAGCACUACCA